UACGAAGGGUGCAAACGUUGCUCGGAAUUAUUGGGCGUAAAGCGCACGUAGGCGGCUUUGUAAGUUAGAGGUGAAAGCCCAGGGCUUAACCCUGGAAUUGCCUUUAAGACUGCAUCGCUAGAAUUGUGGAGAGGUAAGUGGAAUUCCGAGUGUAGAGGUGAAAUUCGUAGAUAUUCGGAAGAACACCAGUGGCGAAGGCGACUUACUGGACACAUAUUGACGCUGAGGUGCGAAAGCGUGGGGAGCAAACAGG
rnacentral:rRNA from 1 species